CUUUGACCUCUGAAGGUUUUGAAGAAGAAAGAAGACAUGGUACAGCAGACAGUUUCUUAUCUUCAGGAUGGUCCACAUGCCACAGAGGUCAUCUUUAAAACCUUCAUUCAAAAAGGUUCUGAUUACUGAGCUCAUUAUUGGGUUCCUUCUCCUGCUAUACACCUGCAAAGUUCGGUCCAUGGAGACGAAUCAGCCUCAGCUCGUCACAGCUAUGGUUGGUGAUGACGUUGUUCUGCCGUGUCACCUGGAGGUUACUCUAAACUCUGAUGAGUUGGUGGUGGAAUGGGGGAGACUUGACCUGAACCCCAGAUUUGUGUGUCUGUGGUUUGAAGGGAGUGAAUAUACAGAUGAACAAAACACCGCCUACUCAAGGGAAGAACGUCAUUCUUCAGCAACAGACUGAAGGAUGGAGAUGUUUCACUGAGAUGUAAGACACUCUGACAACGGAAGAUUCAGAUGCUACAAUCCAAAAAAGAUUAAAGAAUAUUUUGUUGACCUUAUUGUUGGUUCCUAAGGUGGGAGGCACCUGACUCCUUCAGCGGUUCUGUCUCCUCACCUGGUAUCAGUUUAGCAGGACUUGAUAACAGCAGCUAUGGAGUGAUGUUGGACUGCAGCUCUGCAGGCUGGUAUCCAGAACCUGAUGUCUUCUGGCUGGACGGGGAGGGAAACAUCAUGUCUGCUGGACCUACAGAUAAAGUUAGAGGUUCUGAUGGUCUCUACAGGGUCAGCAGCAGAGUGACUGUGGAGAAGAGACACAACAACAACGUUACCUGUAGAGUCCAACAGAAGGACAUCAACCAGACCUGAGAGACACAUAUUUUUGUUCAUGGUAAAGACGUCAGAGAAACAUCUGAUCACUAAAACAUGGAGUCAUUAUUUAUUAAACAGUUUUUUCUUUAACCGUGUUUCAGAUGAUUUCUUUGGAGCCCGAUCUGACUGCAUUCUCCUUCUCUGUUUAAAUGGAGUUUUGGGUCUCAUUCUUCUUCUGCUAGUUUUUAUUUUCAUCUUGAAACAGGGACAAACUAAAAUCUCAAUAAAGAAACUAAAAGAAAAAGUGAAUGAAGAGCAACAGCAGCUCAUGGCCGAAGAAAAACAGAAUCUGGCUCAGAAAAAGUCAAAACUAGAGGAGGAGAUAAAAAAUAGAAACAAGGAUCAGAGAAGCAUUGAUCAGUAUAUUGAAGCAUUCACGAAAAUGUCAGAGGAACUGAAGGACCAGAAAAUACAACUCGCUGAUCAAAAAGAGGAGGCAGAGAAGAUGGUUGAAGAGGAUGAGAGGAAGCUUAAGGCAGUUGAUGACGAAGUAGGGAACCAGACGGGGAACAUGAAAGAAAAGAGAGCUCAAAGAUACUUAAAACUGAAAGAACUCAUAACAGAGAGCAAUGACAGACUGGAUAAGAUAAAGAAAGGUCAUCAACAUGUGGAGCUGAUGACAGAGAAACUGAUGGGUAGAUGGUGAUGAGGUCACCAAGCUGAAGAAGAGAAAACAGGAAAUAGAGAACCAUGUAGUGGAAAUACAAAAACAACUGCAGGAAAUUGAGAAAUGGAAGUGAUUUAUUUUCAGAAAAAAAGCAAACCAUUUGAACUUUUUUCUGUUACAAUAUCUACUCGUCUCAAUCUAAUAUUUAUGAGCAUUGUGGGUAUGUUGGAUAUUAUAUGACCUUAUUCAGAUGCAGAGAAUUUAGAGAUUACAGCGCAAACAGCCUGAAUGUUAAAUCAUCCUAAAAGAUUAUCUGAAGACACCAAUUACUGUUUAAACAGCAAGAAAGCACUGGUGAUUUAAAAUAUAUGCUUAAAAAAUUAGAAUAAUUAUUUGUUUUAUGUUUUGCAGCAGUUUAAAAGUAUGCCGUUUUGUAUUUAAUAAACACCUUUAUUAAUCUACAAAAAAA